rnacentral:snRNA from 1 species
GUGCUCGCUUCGGCAGCACAUAUACUAAAAUUAGAAUGAUACAGAGAAGAUUAGCAUAGCCCCUGCGCAAGGAUGACACACAAAUUCGUGAAGCGUUCCAUACUUUU